rnacentral:rRNA from 1 species
UACGUAGGUGACCAGCGUUGUCCGGAUUUACUGGGCGUAAAGAGCGCGCAGGCGGUCGUUCCAGUCAAGUGUGAAAGCCCCCGGCUCAACUGGGGAGGGUCACUCGAUACUGAUCGACUUGAAGGCAGGAGAGGGAAGCGGAAUUCCCGGUGUAGUGGUGAAAUGCGUAGAUAUCGGGAGGAACACCAGUGGCGAAGGCGGCUUCCUGGCCUGUUCUUGACGCUGAGGCGCGAAAGCUAGGGGAGCAAACGGG